GUCUGUGGCCAUGCCACCCUGAACAAGCCCGAUGUCUGAUCUCGGAAGCUAAGCAGGAUCAGGCCUGGUUAGUACUUGGAUGGGAGACCGCCUAGGAAGACCAGGUACUAUAGGCA
rnacentral:rRNA from 1 species